GGAAGAAACCUCAGACAGAUCGCCGGGGAGGCAGCGCGGGAUCCCAGCCUCAGGCGUGCGCGGACGGUGUGCGGAGUCUAGCUUUGUACCAGGCUGCAGUGCAGUAGUGCCAUCUCAGCUCACUGCAACCUCUGCCUCCAGGGUUCAAGCGAUUGUCCUGCCUCAGCCUCCCGAGUAGCUGGGAUUAGAGGCACAUGCCACCACACCCAGCUAAUGUUUGUAUUUUUAGUAGAUACGGGGUUUCAUCAUGUUGCGCAGGAUGGUCUCAAUUUCCUGACCUCGUGAUCCGCCCAUCUCGGCCUCCCAAAAUGCUGGGAUUACAGGCAUGAGCCACCAGAACCGGACAUGCUUUCCUUAAAAGCUAAAUAUUUUAGGCUUGUGUGCCAUUAGGCUCUGUUACAACUACUUAAUUCUGCUUUUGUAAUUCUAUAGCACCCAUUGAUAAUACAUAAACAAAUGAGCAUGAAUGUGUCUCAGUAAAAAUUUGUUCACAUAAACAGGCAGUCCACCCAUGAAGCUAUAGCUUGCUGACCCCUUGUUUAAACAAUCAAUUGAAUUCAAACAGAAAUAAAAGGAUCUUAUAUAUUUAACCAUGUUGAUACCAUUUCCAGUGCUUUUCAUUCUUCU
rnacentral:lncRNA from 1 species